rnacentral:rRNA from 1 species
UACGUAGGGCGCAAGCGUUGUCCGGAAUUAUUGGGCGUAAAGAGCUUGUAGGCGGUUUGUCGCGUCUGCUGUGAAAUUUCGGGGCUCAACCCCGAACUUGCAGUGGGUACGGGCAGACUAGAGUGUGGUAGGGGAGACUGGAAUUCCUGGUGUAGCGGUGAAAUGCGCAGAUAUCAGGAGGAACACCGGUGGCGAAGGCGGGUCUCUGGGCCGAAAUUGACGCUGAGGAGCGAAAGCGUGGGGAGCAAACAGG